rnacentral:rRNA from 1 species
UACGUAGGGUGCAAGCGUUAUCCGGAAUUAUUGGGCGUAAAGAGCUCGUAGGCGGUUUGUCGCGUCUGCUGUGAAAACUGGAGGCUCAACCUCCAGCCUGCAGUGGGUACGGGCAGACUAGAGUGCGGUAGGGGAGCAUGGAAUUCCUGGUGUAGCGGUGAAAUGCGCAGAUAUCAGGAGGAACACCAGUGGCGAAGGCGGUGCUCUGGGCCGGAACUGACGCUGAGGAGCGAAAGCGUGGGGAGCAAACAGG